UAAAGAAAGCGUAACAGCUCACUGAUUUAAAUUUUUUGCAAUGAAAAUGUAUAGGGGCUCAAAUUAUUUACCGAAACGAUAAAUUUAACAAAUAAGUUAAAUGGUAGCAGAACGUUCUGUAAAUCUAAAAAGAUUUAUGGUGACAUAAAUUGAAGAAAUCAGAAUUGAAAAUGUUGAUAUGAGUAGCGAUAAACAAUGUGAAAAACUUUGUCGCCUUAAG
rnacentral:rRNA from 13 species